rnacentral:rRNA from 1 species
CCCUUCUGGAGUUUGGCAGAGGGGGGUGGAAUUCCACGUGUAGCAGUGAAAUGUGUAGAGAUGUGGAGGAACACCGAUGGCGAAGGCAGCCCCCUGGGCCGAUACUGACGCUCAUGCACGAAAGCGUGGGUAGCAAACAGGAUUAGAUACCCUGGUAGUCCACGCCCUAAACGAUGUCAACUAGUUGUUGGGAGGGUAAAACCUUUUAGUGCCGUAGCUAAC